CACCUGGAAGAACGAUCGAGGUCCCACGCGCAGGUCCGAGUGCACGAUCGCUCCUUCGACAUAGCCGGGGAUGCGCUCAGCACACCACUCGAAGAAGUGGCGCGCGAGAGGCCGCUCCGUCUCAGUCACGUUCAACUGGACCUCGGACUCAUUUGUAAACACCUCGACAGUGCGCACGAACGGAGGGAACCUCCGUUCCCGGACCAUCUGGUUCAACACGCCGAUGACUUCGUUGAUCCGGGGCGAUGAGAUCGGGCACAUCUCCACGGGACACAGGUCAUGCGAGCCCAAUCGGAGGUAGCCGAUCCUGCCGCCGCGAACAUGCAGUUGCACGCGGUUUCUGUAAUUCCACUCGUGGCCCGUCAGGACGUCGAUGUCCUCCGGAGCAUCGAAUUUACCGACGCGGC
rnacentral:misc_RNA from 1 species